AUUUAACCAUUAUUGGGCACCUUCUGUAUGCCAAGCGCUGUGCUGGAUGUGAGGCUCCAGAGACACAUAAGAAUCUGUCCUCGUAGCAGUUAGGACCCCAGCAGAAGAUAGAUGGAGCUUCAAAUUGGGUCAUUUGAGGAGAACGUAGUCAGAGUUUAGGGAAACCACAUGGGAGAGUGUAGACCCCUGAGGCUGGUGAUAGUGGGAAUGAGUAUCCUGAGCCCUGACAUGGGUGAGGCUGGGAGGUAUGGCUGCUGGAACAUGGGAGAACAAGAAGGACUAGCAAGCUAUGUAGAGAUGCUUCCUGACGUUGUGGUCUUCAGUCAAGGGCUGAAGUCAGUCCUGAAGCCAUUAGUCAGCUGAUGGCAAUCUAGCAAGGAGGGAGCUGGGGAAUCAAUACCUUGACCUCACUCUCCUUACCCUACGGUGCUCUUUUCCAAUCACUCGGAAGCCAGUCGGGGAGGAAGCCACUUGGUGAAGUGUAUAUGCCAGCCUCCUGGAGCCGAGCGGGAAGGAGAAAGGUAGAGUGGACCCAGAUGGGCAAAUAAAAGGUUGAAGAUAGAGUGUGGCAACGAAGGUCAUGCCAUCUGUAGAGGAGCCCCUUUAACUGGCUGCAGUGUUUAGAGACUUCACACCAAGCCUUUGCUCCAUGAAGUGUGUCCCCAAGAUUGACCCGGAGCCUAUUCUACAGGAGAUAACCCCCGCUGGGGUGAUGAAUGUGUACGUUCAGACGAGGGAUCCAGAAGCGGAGGAAUGACGCUUUCCAGAAGGACGUGUCAGGGUUAAUUACGAAGGAAGUAACUAAAGUACAGAGGACCAGGGAAGCGGUAAUUGGCAUUAACCACCCCCUCCCCCCACAGCAAGAAUAUGUCAUGUAAAUGACGACCGCUAACAAUAAAGCAUGACUUACUGAGCUGUCAAACAUUUCUUAUGGCUGGAUAUAAUCUUGGACAUACUACUGAAAACCAGUGAAUUCCUGGAUCCAUCCAGCCGUUGUGCCCUCCUGCAAGCUGGACAGCCUACUGCAGCCUUCGGCAACAGUUCCUGCAGAAUAACUUCUGUAGCUGUGUUUUGGAUUUGUAAGAUUUGCUUGAUAAGGACUGGUGAUGUUCUCUAGGACACGACGUCUGUCUUUGAGAGGCUGGCAUGGAGGAGGCAGAGCGGUGAAGCGGAGAGAAUGUGACCUUGGAGUCAGACGGACCUAUUUUGAUUUCUUACCGCACCCAAUCAAGAUCAUUAACUUCUGUGAACGUUCAUCACAGUCUUAAAGGAAGAUAAUAGCUCACUCUGUGUGGUUCCUGUGAAGACUGGACGGGACCUUACACACUGCUUGCCCCAUUCCACAUUCAUGACGAAAUA